rnacentral:rRNA from 1 species
GUCCACGCUGUAAACGAUGGAUACUAGACGUUGUGGGUAUUGACCCCUGCAGUGUCGACGCUAACGCAUUAAGUAUCCCGCCUGGGAAGUACGGCCGCAAGGCUAAAACUCAAAGGAAUUGACGGGGGCCCGCACAAGCGGUGGAAUAUGUGGUUUAAUUCGACGCAACGCGAAGAACCUUACCCAGACUUGACAUUGAUGGAAUUCUUGGAGACAGAGAAGUACCCUUCGGGGACCUGAAAACAGGUGCUGCAUGGCUGUCGU